GUCAUUCUUGCUUUACUUCUUUGUUUUCUUCCUUCGUUGUUCUUAUUGGUUGCACCUUUAUCUCUUCUUUGACUUUCUCAAAGAAAGAAGACUUAAGAAACUCUUUUGCUCCCAUUUCCCACGGAUCCAUGCAAAUCAGAAAUUUGCACCUCACUUUACACUCUUUUCUCUUAAGGAAAGUGCUAGGAAGCUCCCUUGAGUCUUCCCUCAAGUCCACCGGUUCACACACCAAAAGAAAGCUCAUUUCUUCUUCAUAUUCUCUCAAAGGAACCAGAAAACUCUCUCAAGCUCUCUACCAUUCUUUCAUGAGUGGUUCUAUGUCUAUUUUUCCCCACAAGAACCAUAAACUUGGUGUUACCAAUUCCCCAAGUUUAAGCUCCUUCGACUUUAGACUCUCGGUUCCUCUGCUUUCAGUUAGCAGGUUUUAUUUUGGAGCAGAGGGAGCCUUAGUCGAGUUUUGGAAGGAGCUGGUUUAGUUUUAUAUGUAUAGAUCCUAAAUUAGCAAUAUGAUGUUUAGAUUUGUAGCAUUAUUUAUUUUAGGAUCUAAUGAAUGUGUAUAGCUUAAGUAUUAAGAGAUGUAUUAUGUGAAAUUUCGAAGUUGAACAAUUGGUGAAUUAUGUUAUUCUUUGGAGUACAA